UUAUAGUAGAGUUUGAUCCUAGCUCAGGAUGAACGCUGGCGGCGUGGUUAAGGCAUGCAAGUCGAACGGACCUCUUUUUUCCAGAGAAUGAGAUUACAUCAAGUUCAAAGGUCGUUAGAGGUUAGUGGCGAACGAGGUAGUAACACGUGGGUACGUCCCCUAAAGUCGUGAACAACUCCGCGAAAGCGGAGCUAAUACACGAUGGUCCCGAAAGGGUAAAGUUUUAACGCUUUAGGAACGGCCUGCGGA
rnacentral:rRNA from 1 species